rnacentral:lncRNA from 1 species
UUUUAAUAUAUGUGAACAUCUAAUUAUAGCUAAAGAUAAUUUGUGCUACAAUUAUCCUGCCUUCCUGCUAGGUCCUAGGCAGACGAACAAUCCCAGGAAAAAUCUGAACCCUGGGUCUUCUGUACUUCACUACACCCAGACUGAUCUUCUGCCCUGCUCCUGGAAAUCCAAGGGCAAAAAAGGUUCCACUCUGCUGGCAAUGCCUUAUUUUCCUUUGGUGAAAUGA